AUUGAACGCUGGCGGCAUGCUUUACACAUGCAAGUCGAACGGCAGCGCGGGCUUCGGCCUGGCGGCGAGUGGCGAACGGGUGAGUAAUACAUCGGAACGUGCCCAGUAGUGGGGGAUAGCUCGGCGAAAGCCGGAGUAAUACCGCAUACGACCUGAGGGUGAAAGCGGGGGAGCUUCGGAACUCGCGCUAUUGGAGGGGCCGAUGGCAGAUUAGCUAGUUGGUGGGGUAAAGGCCUACCAAGGCGACGAUCUGUAGCUGGUCUGAGAGGACGAGCAGCCACACUGGGACUGAGACACGGCCCAGACUCCUACGGGAGGCAGCAGUGGGGAAUUUUGGACAAUGGGCGAAAGCCUGAUCCAGCAAUGCCGCGUGUGUGAUGAAGGCCUUCGGGUUGUAAAGCACUUUUGGCGGGAACGAAAAGGACUGUGCCAAUACCACGGUUCGAUGACGGUACCCGCAGAAUAAGCACCGGCUAACUACGUG
rnacentral:rRNA from 1 species